UAAAAGAAAUAACAUGAACAAGUCAGCACUUCUACUUUUGCUUCUCAUCGGACUUCUCGUCCUCACUGAAACUACUACUUCUUGGUGGAUAACUCGUCGUCGUCGCCGUCGUUAUUAUUAUCGUCGUCGUCAUAACCAAGAGAAAAUGCCACAAAUGAACGAAGAUUCAGACAUGAAUUUCGUCAAAUCGAUUGUUGAAGAACAAUAAGUGUUCAUUUAUGUUUAAGCUGCAAAAGUACGGUUUUAAUAAAUUGAACUUCCGCAAA